GCAUGAUUCAAGAAGUUAUCUACAUUGAACAGACAUUCUAUGCUGUGGGUUACUUCAAUGAACUUCUAUCUUUUGACGUUACUUCUCAGUCGUAUUCAGAAAUACAUGUGAUUGUUCCUGAAGACAAACCCAUUGGGCAAGUCAAGAGAUAUAUAUUUGUAGGGGAAGGGAAAAAAUUGUUCAUGGUUCAAAGAUACACGGACUAUGUAGAAGUUGAAGAAGGUUUUCACGACCGGGUGACGAAGAAAUUUAGAGUGUUCGAAUUGAAUUCAGCUAAGGGUGAGUGGGUUGAGAAAAACUCAUUGGGUGAUAUUGCUGUUUUUGUAGGGGAUAACUCUUCUAUAUCUGUGCUGCCUUCAAAUCUUUCAGGAUGUCAGUCGGAUUGCAUAUACUUCAAUCAAGAUCGUGAUCAUAUAGCGUACUUAUUGCCGCCUCAUGAUUUUGGUGCUUAUAACGUGCCAGAGAAAAGCUGCCUACAAACUUACCCUGCUCAUGUGGAGAAACUCAUAAAGAGGAGCCGCCAACUGCCAAUUUGGGUCAUUCCAACAUUGUAUUUUGAGUUGUAAAAGUUUGCACAAUGAGUUCUUAAUUCUUAUUACUUGCUUAUUUGAUUAGUGUUACUUGUCAAUUGUCAUCUAUUUUUUUUUCCGAUUUAGAGUUCGAUUAGAGUGUAGCAGCCAAGGCAUUGAUAAAACCUGCAACUGUACAAGCUUAAUAUGUUGGUUGAAUGCAUUGAGAAUUCUCUAACUAUAAAGAACAGGGUUCAAGGGAUCAAUUUUGUACCUGAGAAAAAUAUGAAUGUUGUUCAAGUUGUUGACUUCUUAUCUCUAUUAUCUUUAUCUAGAGACAUUUCGAUCUGAGAGGACUCCUACUUAUCAGCAGUAACUAGAUUCUAGGAUAAGUAUUUUGUAUUCCUGUAUCUCAUUAUGUAACUAAACCCUAUCAUUCUACAAUCUCUCAAACACUAUAUGACCUCACUGAUUUGUUGUAUCUGACAAUUCCAGAUACUUUCUUCAAACCUCUAUUCCUUAUGGUGGCGGCCUAGGACAAUUUUUCUUCGUCUCAAACUCCCUCACAAAUGGCCUAUGCAUCUGCUACUACCUCAGCCACGCACUGUCAACUCCACCACUUCAACCAUUUGCUUCCGAAACCGUACCUGCAACAAUCUCCUCCACCAUCCCCACUCGAGCAUCUUCUGAUCAGUCGCCAAACAUCACCAAUUGCCUCUCAAUCAAGCUCGAUCAAACCAACUACACUCUUUGGUUAGCACAAAUUCAGUCUCUUCUUAACUACACUCCUUGGGCCUACCACAUAUACCCUUCUCUGAUCUUCAAGUUGUUAUCUUCUUAAUUUCUUCAUUACUUUACAACCUACAUAUGAUAACGUAGUUCCAGGGUGCCGCAUGAUUCAAGAAGUUAUCUACGUUGAACAGACAUUCUAUGCUGUGGGUUACUUCAAUGAACUUCUAUCUUUUGACGUUACUUCUCAGUCGUAUUCAAAAAUACAUGUGAUUGUUCCUGAAGAUAAACCCAUUAUUGGGCAAGUCAAGAGAUAUAUAUUUGAAGGGGAAGGGAAAAAAUUGUUCAUGGUUCAAAGAUACACGGACUAUGUAGAAGUUGAAGAAGGUUUUCACGACCGGGUGACGAAGAAAUUUAGAGUGUUCGAAUUGAAUUCAGCUAAGGGUGAGUGGGUUGAGAAAAACUCAUUGGGUGAUAUUGCUGUUUUUGUAGGGGAUAACUCUUCUAUAUCUGUGCUGCCUUCAAAUCUUUCAGGAUGUCAGUCGGAUUGCAUAUACUUUAAUCAUGAUCGUGAUCAUGUAGCGUGCUUAUUGCCGCCUCAUGAUUUUGGUGCUUAUAACGUGCCAGAGAAAAGCUUCCUACAAGCUUACCCUGCUCAUGUCGAUAAACUCAUGAAGAGGAGCUUGCAACUGCCAAUUUGGGUCAUUCCAACUUUGUAUUUUGAGUUGUAGAAGUUUGCACAAUGAAUUAUUAUAUGCUUGGUUGAAGCUUCCUACAAACUUACCCUCCUCAUUUUCUCACGGCUGCUGGCAGUGUUGGGCCAACAAUACAUAUGGGUGGUGGAUGUGAUAGAUUUGUUUAUAUUGUUGCAUUUUUAUUUUUGAGUGUAGGACUUAUAAACUGUAGAUUAAUAAGUUAUUAAUUUCUUAUCACUCGAUCGAGUUAGAGAUCUAUUCUCUUCUUGUUUGUAUCUUUUCGACUUUGCUGUGUAGCUGUGGGCUUGUUCCUUGAUUAAUGUUCUUCUUAACAUGUGCCUUUUGAAUUAUUCAUGUACACUUUAUAGUUUGAUCUCUCUCCAACUGUUAUAUUAAGUGUUUGUCAUCUAACUAUUUAGUAUUAGGUUUUUAAAGUUUUUUUUAAAAGGUAAGCCAAUCAGCCUGCGUAGGCCCAAUCAAGCUCGUGACCGCCUAGCCGUGCCAAACCGCGUAAGGCCCAGUUCUCCAUGAUGAUCCCCAAACGACUUGUCGUUUCUUUAUCAUCAAAAAUAUAUAAUUAGAAAAAUUAAAAUAGACAAAAACAGAAAAUGAAAAUAUAGCCGACAGGCGGGAGAGAGAGAUGACGAGAGCUCCGUCCACCGAGGACAGUGUUCGCCGAGUCUUCGUCGCCGUUAAGGUCACUCCACUUCUCUCUCAAUCUGUCACUGUUUUUCUCCUUCGUUAAUUUUCAGCUUCAUAGGGUUUGAAAUUGGGGAUUUUUGUUCCAAGGGUUUUUUUUUUUUUUUUUUUCCUUAAUGCAAUUUGUUGACAUUGUGGAGGUUUGGAUUUGGAGUGACUGAAGUGAGGAGUAGAGGAGGGAGAUUAGGUUUCCGGCGGGAUGUCGAGAGGGGGAGGAGCUGGAGGACUUGGGGUAGGAAGCAUGAGAUGUAGUAUAAUGAUGUUAAGGAGAGGUAUAGUCAUGGGUCUGGUCGAGGGAGCAGGAAAGAGAUGGGGGAUACGAGCGUGGAGUUGGUGAUCAGGAGAUAAUGAGUGAGCAUUCCUCAGAUAGAGAUCGUGAGAGGGGGAAGGAUUUGGAAGAUAUUGAGCAAGGAAGCAGCAGGUGCCAUGAGCGGGGUUGGGGAAAAAGAAAUCGAACUGUGGAAUCAGAUAGAGAGGGGGAGAUGGACAGAACGGAGCUUUGGAUGACAUUGUUGAAAAGGAUAGAGAUAAACUUUCGAGGAGGUGGAACAGGUAAAACUUAACUUCACAUUUAGAUUGCGUAAACAGGGCAAUUGUAAAGCUGAAUUCGGUAGCUUUGUUAGGCAAAUUGUUGCAAUUAUUGUCACAUGAAUGUGGAGUUUUCUUGUUUUUGUCCUUAAUAGUGAACGUACUGCAUAUGUAGGUUAAAUCUCCAAAAUCUAAUGUAAGCACUUAAGUUAUUCUGCUUACUGAUUCCGAGUGUCGCGCCUUCCAUUACAAGAAAAGAAUUAAAAAAUGAGAAUCUGUUGGCGUUUGAAAUUGCCUAUUGGAUGUUCACUAUUAAAAAAAUGCUUCCUAUCUUCCUGACCAAAUAGACCCGAAUGCUCUUAGGAUUUUUAUGGCUUCUGUAUGAACAACAGUGUCAUCAGUAGUGUAGUAAUUGGCAUUGGAAUAGAGUUUAAUUUCACCAUGUUCUGGUCUUUUGCUGCAGUUCAAACUCAGUCGACCGAAAUGGUAGGGAGCUUUUAUCCCAUUCAAGUGAUGAUUUUAAUGAUCAGGCAAGUACAACAAUUUCAAUGAUCGACAUCAUUCAAAAGAUGUCGAUUGACGACGAGAGCUCCGUUUACGUCGGCAGCCUUCCCUACGACGCCACUGAGGACAGUGUUCGCGUCGAUCUGUACGGCGCCGUCAUCGCCGUUAAGGUCACCCCUCUUCUCUCUCAAUCUGUCAUUGUUUUUCAAUUUCUUAUCCUUACGUUAAUUUUCAGAUUUAUUGGGUUUGAAUUUGGGGCGUUUUGAUCGAUCAAGCAUGUGGGUUUAGGUUAAUAUAUAUUCAUGAUUUUCCUGACUUGUAUAGGUUAAUAUUAUUGAGUUUCCUAUCUCAAAUAGGUUAAUACACAAUUCUAACUAAUUUAUGCUUUUCCCCGACUCAUAUAGGCUAAUAUUCUUGAUAUUCCUAUCUCUAAUAGGUUUAUACACAAUUCUUACUAGUUAUUGGAACUGUGUAUAAAUAAGGGUAGUGAUUGCAACUUCAUACAUGUAGAAGCCAACCAAACAUUACACAAAAAGAGAGUUUAGGUGAAUCACAAUAAUUGAGUAGCAAAGAAUUAAUCAGCUGCCAACUACGUGCUCCAAAGAAAGAAAAGGAAAGAGAGUUGCCUAGCUAACUUUCUGAUAAGGGAGAGGGAGAUAGAGAGAGCCUGCAUACAAUCUCCAAUCUUUUUCUGGGUUUUCUCUAGAAAAACAAAACUCUUCUUCAUCAGAUCUUCAGAACACUACAGAUCAAGAAACAUAGAUCAAGAGGAACUCCGACGCGUCGUAGACUGUACAAGUAUUUAGUACUUAGUGCAAUUGAACAACAUCAACAACUAUGAAUCAAGGUAUGUCUUCAGAUUGGGCAAAUUUGCCAAAGAAUCUUUUGGAUUCAGUUGUUGAAACCCUAGUGCUACCAUCACACUAUGUGCCGUUCAGCCUUGUCUGUAAGCCAUGGUAUUCAGUAGCAAAGGAUAACAUACACAAACAUGAAAGGAUGACAGCUCCAAUGUUGUUGAUUUACAGCGGCAAAAAAGACUAUUGGAAUGUAUUCAACAAGGCUACUAACAAGAUCCUUGAUUUUCAAGUAAGAGUGCCAAACAGGAGGCUUUGUGGGUCUUCCAAAGGGUGGUUAAUCUAUGUGAAUAAGAAUUUUGGAAUAACCCUUGUGAAUCCAUUCUUUAGGGUUAAAGGAAGGAGGGAGAGAUCAAACUCUCUCAUUCGCCUACCUCCACUUAUGCCUCCAGGUUGGCAAAACCCGCAGAAAAGAUGUGAGAAUUACGUCUUCAAAGCUACAAUUUCAGCUGAUCCGAUAUCGAAUCCAGAAGAUUGCAUUGUUAUGGUCGCGCAUAUGGAAAGAUUAGAGUUGGCUUUCAUUAGACUAGGUAAGGACACAACAUGGACGUAUAUGGAUGGAAGUGAUAACAUAGUUCCAGGGUGCCGUAUGAUUCAAGAAGUUAUCUACAUUGAACAGACAUUCUAUACUGUGGGUUACUUCAAUGAACUUCUAUCUUUUGACGUUACUUCUCAGUCGUAUUCAGAAAUACAUGUGAUUGUUCCUGAAGAUAAACCUAUUGGGCAAGUCAAGAGAUAUAUAUUUGAAGGGGAAGGGAAAAAAUUGUUCAUGGUUCAAAGAUACACGGACUAUGUAGAAGUUGAAGAAGGUUUUCGCAACCGGGUGACGAAGAAAUUUAGAGUGUUCGAAUUGAAUUCAGCUAAGCAUGAGUGGGUUGAGAAAAACUCAUUGGGUGAUAUUGCUGUUUUUGUAGGGGAUAACUCUUCUAUAUCUGUGCUGCCUUCAAGUCUUUCAGGAUGUCGGCCGGAUUGCAUAUACUUCAAUCAAGAUAGGGAUCAUAUAGGGUACUUGUCGCCGGCUCAUGAUUUUGGUGCUUAUAACGUGCUAGAGAAAAGCUUCCUACAAACUUACCCUGCUCAUGUGGAGAAACUCAUAAAGAGGAGCCGCCGACUGCCAAUUUGGGUCAUUCCAACUUUGUAUUUUGAGUUGUAAAAGUUUGCACAAUGAGUUCUUAAUUCUUAUUACUUGCUUCUUUGAUUAGUGUUACUUGUCAAUUGUCAUCUAUUUUUUUUUUCGAUUAGAGUGUAGCAGCCAAGGCACUGAUAAAACCUGCAACUGUACAAGCUUAAUAUGUUGGUUGAAUGCAUUGAGAAUUCUCUAGCUAUUAAGAACAGGGUUCAAGGGAUCAAUUUUGUACGUGAGAAAAAUAUGAAUGUUGUUCAAGUUGUUAACUUCUUAUCUCUAUUAUCUUUAUCUAGAGACAUUUCGAUCUGUGAGCACGGAUCUAUAUUAUGACAUAUUUCCUUGGGCUAAGAACGCCAAAAAAAUUAGGAAACCAUGCCAUUGAAGAAACUAAGAAGGAUUACAAGUAGUAUUCGUUUUUUCUUAAGGCACUGAAACUCAAAAUAAGCUGCUCAGGUAAGAACCAUUUUUUACAAGUAAAUAAGUUAGAAACAUGAAUUUCACAAAUAAUGUAGAUAAUGAAGAUGUCAUUCACAUUUUUACUGGUGGAACCGUGAGAGCACCCGAAAGCUAUUAUAGACCAUAGGCAGCACUACUACACAGACGAGGGACAAAACGCCAACCGCAGAUGGAACUCGACAGCAUUACUUUAAAGCACUAAUGUAUUUCAUCCAUUAUGAUCGAGCCCCUCAGCACCGAGAUCUUCUUCAACCGAUCGCAAUGACAAGACCCAAGGCAUCAAUAUGUAUCAUAAUAGAUCAGAUGAAGAUGAUAUAUGGUGUCAAUUCAAACCCUAUCAUUCUACAAUAUCUCAAACACUAGAUCAAUAUAUAUACAGAGGUCAGGCACUGAUUUGUUGUAUCUGACAAUUCCAAAUACUUUCUUCAAACCUCUAUUCCUUAUGGUGGCCUAGGACCAAAUAGGCAAAUAUUAGACUAAAUGAUGCAACAACCAAAUACAUCCAGAUCAAAUCACAACAACAUGAACACACAUCUCAUAUCAGUAAGAUCAACAAGACUAAAACACUAACCUGAUGACUGGUUCAUUGAGGUCGACAUCUUGCAAUAGUAGCUGCACUAGAACCAAGAGUUAAGCCUUCUGCACUUCAACACUUAGAACGUUAGUAUGGGACUAAAGCUGAAUGUAAGCGUGUUGAGUGCAUGGGCUUCUUCUUAUAUAUAUAUCGGCAGCUUAUCACAACUCCUAAGAUUAAUUAGGCAAUUAUAUAAUGAGUAUCCUACUUCUGUUAGGAGAUACAACCUUAACAGAUAAUCAGAAAUAGAGUUAUAGUCAUUAUUUCUUGUCAUUUGUAUUUAGCCAAAUCAAUUGUAUUUCUCUUAAUGUAAUACAGUGAGUGUUAAAGUCCAAUAUUUUCUAACAUCUUCGUCUCAAACUCCCUCACAAAUGGCCUCUGCUGCAUCUGCUACUACCUCAGCCACGCACUGUCAACUCCACCACUACUUCAACCAUUUGCUUCCGAAACCGUAACAAUCUCCUCCACCAUCCCCACUCGAGCAUCUUCUGAUCAGUCACCAAACAUCACCAAUUACCUCUCAAUCAAGCUCGAUCAAACCAACUACACUCUUUGGUUAGCACAAAUUCAGUCUCUUCUUAACUACACUUCUUGGGUCUACCACAUAUAUCCUUCUCUGAUCUUCAAGUUGUUAUCUUCUUAAUUUCUUCAUUACUUUACAACCUUCAUAUGUAACGAUGGGUUUCUGCUAGUAGCCUGGUGCACAUGCUUUAGUAAUGUUAAUCUGCACCUGUAACAUAAAGACAGAAGUCACAGAUCAAAACAUUUAUACUCAAAGCAACAAUAUCCUCCACCAUCCCUGCAACCAUGAAAUCAAUGCUUUGAAAUAGAUAUUAACUUGCAAAGGUUUAGCAGUUUCCUU
rnacentral:lncRNA from 1 species